GGUUCCAUGGUCUAGCAGUUAGGACCCUGGACUCUGAAUCCAGUAACCUGAGUUCAAAUCUCGGUGGAACCU